ACGACCUUUGGACCGUCGGUGUACCGAGAAAUUUCACCCGCUCGGUGGGAGAAAGAAGAUCAUCCCUUUGUCGU
rnacentral:pre_miRNA from 1 species